rnacentral:rRNA from 2 species
UGGGGAAUAUUGCGCAAUGGGGGAAACCCUGACGCAGCAACGCCGCGUGAUUGAAGAAGGCCUUCGGGUUGUAAAGAUCUUUAAUUCGGGACGAAUUUUGACGGUACCGAAAGAAUAAGCUCCGGCUAACUACGUGCCAGCAGCCGCGGUAAUACGUAGGGAGCAAGCGUUAUCCGGAUUUACUGGGUGUAAAGGGCGCGCAGGCGGGCCGGCAAGUUGGAAGUGAAAUCCGGGGGCUUAACCCCCGAACUGCUUUCAAAACUGCUGGUCUUGAGUGAUGGAGAGGCAGGCGGAAUUCCGUGUGUAGCGGUGAAAUGCGUAGAUAUACGGAGGAACACCAGUGGCGAAGGCGGCCUGCUGGACAUUAACUGACGCUGAGGCGCGAAAGCGUGGGGAGCAAACAGG